rnacentral:lncRNA from 1 species
GUUUUUCAACGCACAUACACCCUAUUAACCUAAUCAGCAGCCCCCUUUUUAUUUUCAAAACAAAAGUAAAAAAAAAAAGGAAAAAAAACCUAGGCCCUUUCAUGCGCCGUUCUGCUCAUCGAUCCCUCAAAACGGAUCUCUGAAUCCCUGCUCAGGCUCCGAUGGCGACAGAGAGAACAGGGAUUCGACGACGAGGUAUUCCCC